AUUGAGAUCCUUUCUGGACUAGAGACUUUUGGAAACAAUGUUAUUUUUCAAUGAUAUAAAAAGCCAAAGCUUUCUGCUUCUUUGGAUCCUUUUGGAGUCCUUCAAGGAGGAACCAUUCCAGUACCAAUUGGACAUGCUCCCUGUGAUAGCUAGGCUGUUUGCAGGCUUUGAGGAGAGAAGAAAAUCCCUUUAAAAUAUUGACUCUUCUGGUCCAAAAAGGAAGAAAAGGCCGUAGCUGAAUCCAUCCCACCCGAGGCUUGAAUUGUUAGGAAAGAGUCACAUUUUUAGAAAAGAACACCUGAUACUGAAGAAACCAUGAUUUUUGCCAUAGAAAUAGAUCUUCCUUCUUCAAAAGGACCCUCUGCCGAAGUACUUGGAAUCCCCGCCCCCCAACAAAAUGAAUAUUUAUUAACAUAAGAAGAACCUGGAGCAGGUUGGUCCCACACGUCCCAAUCUGCCAAAAUGCUUCC